rnacentral:rRNA from 1 species
GAUGAACGCUGGCGGCGUGCUUAACACAUGCAAGUCGAACGGUGAAAGCGGAGCUUGCUCUGCUGGAUCAGUGGCGAACGGGUGAGUAACACGUGAGCAACCUGCCCCGGACUCUGGGAUAACAGUUGGAAACAGCUGCUAAUACCGGAUACGAGCUGCGAAGGCAUCUUCAGCAGCUGGAAAGAACUUCGGUCUGGGAUGGGCUCGCGGCCUAUCAGCUUGUUGGUGAGGUAAUGGCUCACCAAGGCGUCGACGGGUAGCCGGCCUGAGAGGGUGACCGGCCACACUGGGACUGAGACACGGCCAGACUCCUACGGGAGGCAGCAGUGGGGAAUAUUGCACAAUGGGCGCAAGCCUGAUGCAGCAACGCCGCGUGAGGGAUGACGGCCUUCGGGUUGUAAACCUCUUUUAGUAGGGAAGAAGGGCUUCGGCUUGACGGUACCUGCAGAAAAAGCACCGGCUAACUACGUGCCAGCCGCCGCAGUAACAC